GUGGGAGGGAAUGAGACACAUGGGGGGCCCAGGGCAAUUUUUACACUGGUCUGGUGGUUUCUAGUUACUUCUAGUUAUGCCAGUUACAUAACCUAAGGUUCACAAAAUUUACUUUAGACCUACAGGUUUAAGAUGUGUUAUAUUCACUGAACAGCUAGCAGGGUUGUGAUAAUUAAAAUUAUGCAGAGAUUGAAAACACUAGUUGUCUGUAUGCAUUUAGGAAAAGAAGGGAACAUCUCUUAAAUACAGAGUCAAAAUCCAUCCCAACAGGUAACGGGGAAGUUCAUUAAAUUUAUUUAGUGUAAGACAAAAAAGUUUGCCUUCCUUAGUCUGUUUAUUUUAUCCACAUCAUUGCAGUAUAUGUGUGUUUUAACCUCUUCCUUGCUUGUAAGUGUAUUUAUAUUUGUGUGUAUACUGCACUUACUUGUGUUUUUCAUUUCUUAUGUAUUUGUAUUGUCUGUGUGUAGCUAAUCUGCUGAAAUGCAGUAUGUGCAAUUUGUAUCUGGAAUCUGGCAUUGAGAAGCUAAAUCAGUUGACAUUGUUUUACUUUAAUAUUAGAGCCAAAAGUAUCUUUGAAUGAUAGAGAUUGACGUAUCAUUUUUACAAUUAUAACUUACAAAGCUAAAAGACAAUAUAUUGCAAUGUGAUAGCAUUACAAUGUUUGCUUUGCUAUUUAUAUUACUUGGUCUGCUGUAUUAAAAUAUGGUGAAAAGUACAUGUAUGCACAUUAUUUCAUGUAAAUAUGGUGUAUAGAUCGGGUGAUUAUAUAUCUUUAUAUUUCUAGUUCUAAUUAUGGAACCAUGGGUGGGCAAUAUCUUUUGUACACAUAUAUAUUUUGUUAAUAUGGGUGCUUACAUUACAC